UUUUCAAGAACUCCUCUUGGGUGAGGAGCAGAAUUAUUAAUUAAAUCCAGUGAAAUCACUUAGAGGACAAUGGUAAAAUUUUAUACAAUAACACAUAUAAUUCUUUCCUAUGCAGUGCUAUAGUAGGAAUUGAAUUUUAAAAUACACUUUGUAAAACAAGGCUAAAUAAACUUAAUUGAUUCUUUAA